rnacentral:tRNA from 1 species
GGCCUGUUAGCUCAGCUGGUUAGAGUGUGGUGCUAAUAACGCCAAGGUUGUGGGUUCGAUCCCCACAUGAGCCA